GCGAAAAGCAGUAAUGCUGAGUAGAGUGGCGCACGGGUGAUUAACACGUAACUGACAUGUCCUCGAGACAAGGAUAACCGUUCGAAAGGAUGGCUAAUACUUGGUAAGCCCCCGGGUUUGGACCUGAGGGAAAAGGGUCGGGAUUUUUCCAAACCGAUCGCUUGAGGAUUGGGUUGCGGCCCAUCAUCUAGUUGGCGGGGUAACGGCCCACCAAGGCUAAGACGGGUAGCUGGUCUGAUAGGAUGAUCAGCCACACUGGAACUGAUACACGGUCCAGACUCCUACGGGAGGCAGCAUUGGGGAAUCUUGCUCAAUGGGAGAAAUCCUGACGCAGCAACGCCGCGUGGGUGAUGAAGGUCUUCGGAUCG
rnacentral:rRNA from 1 species